UUUCUUAUAAAUAUUAAACUAGGGGAUCAAAUUGUUUGAAUGUUUUCAUGAAUGUUGCCAAGAAUAUGUAGUUUAACAUAUUACAAAUUUUAUUUUCAA